ACAUCGGUGGUGUAGUGAUAGCACGUUCCCGGUAUGGAUGAAACGCGGGUUCGACUCCCGCCUGAGGUC